rnacentral:rRNA from 1 species
UGGGGAAUCUUCGGCAAUGGGCGCAAGCCUGACCGAGCCAUGCCGCGUGAGCGAUGAAGGCCUUAGGGUUGUAAAGCUCUUUCGCCAGGGAAGAUAAUGACGGUACCUGGUAAAGAAAUCCCGGCUAACUCCGGGCCAGCAGCCGCGGUAAUACGGAGGGGGUUAGCGUUGUUCGGAAUUACUGGGCGUAAAGCGCGCGUAGGCGGACUGGAAAGUUGGGGGUGAAAUCCCAGGGCUCAACCCUGGAACUGCCUCCAAAACUAUCAGUCUGGAGUUCGAGAGAGGUGAGUGGAAUUCCGAGUGUAGAGGUGAAAUUCGUAGAUAUUCGGAGGAACACCAGUGGCGAAGGCGGCUCACUGGCUCGAUACUGACGCUGAGGUGCGAAAGCGUGGGGAGCAA